GUCCGGCGCCGGCCAUGCCUGUCAUUCUUUAACAGGUUUGUUCCCAACUUUUAAAAUUAUUUGACCUUGAAAUAUUACUUCAGGGGAAUGGUAGCCGCGUUAGUUUGUUCGUAAUCUGGAUAGCUUUAUUUCUGUUGGUUACAGGCUGUGCAGGUUGAAUUAGGAGGAGGUUAUCUGCUUCAAUUUGUCUGUUUUCACUCUGAAGAUGACUUUCAUACUGGAAAAUCAAGCGGAAUAAAGUCUUGUAUGACAGUGUUUGAAACAGUUUUCCAGACUAAUGGACAUCUGUGCUGUCAGGCUUACUGAACGACUGAAUAACCGGGUUACUAAUCACUGUAAUAAGAUGGACUUACCAACUGACUGACUAUCAGAGCAACUGUAUGAAAGGAUGCUCUUCUGCUAGUAUUGCUGGAUGUUUGGUGGUGGUGCUGAUUUCAUGAGAUAAGCAUUGAUAUUGACAACAUACAAAUAUUAGACAGUCCAAGAAAAACAGAAAACGAACUCAAGAUUAGUCUCAAAUCAUGCCAUAAUGCUUCUCGUUAAUUUCUCACUCUGUGACAACUUCAGUAGAAACUGCAUGAAGAGUAACUGGACUGUUUGAGAGCUGAGGUACAUUUCUUAUAAAUUGUUUGUCCUGAUACGGGACCCCAGGAAGAAUUAGAAGAUCGCUCAGUUUUAAAUGGCUUGGUUCUUAGUGGAUCAGCUGACUAUGAUCAACUUCGUGUGGUGUCAGUGAUUUCUUGAAGCAUAACCAGCUAAAGAAACCAAGAUCGAAUAUGAACCUUCGACCACCCGAAGCCGGAUACUAAGGAACACGAUCACCUUAGGCAUGAGCCCAGAGAUAUAUUUCAAUCUUGGGAAAAAAAAAAAAAAAAAAGGAGAAAUGUUGGAUCGAUCCCCAAUUCAGGGAAUAAAUAAAAAAAUUGGGGUUCGAUCUGUUCGCCAUCCCCCACUUCACCUGGCAUUAUUAGGCAGUUUAUAAAAGUUAUCUACCUGCAAUAAACGUUCCUUACCACUGGAUCCCCGUCCAUUAUUCCCCACCACUUUAAGACAGUUUUUUUUUUUUUUUAAUUCUUGAUAAAAGUC